rnacentral:lncRNA from 1 species
AUAUACAUAGAUAGAUUAUCUUUCCAUAAGGUUGAGUGAUCUGAUCUGACAAAUGUUAUAAGUGCUACACUCAUGAACUUUUCAUCCAUCAACUUUGUCUUGCUCACUAUGCUUAGGGUUAGAGAAGAACAAAUACACUUUAGGUUCUGUUGGUGUUUUCCACCAACAGGACCCAUGCACUUGAUCUCUGCCUUGUCUCUAUGAGUAGGUACACUUCGAGCAAAACAUGGAGGAGUUUUAUAACUCUCAGACUCUACCAAGUGAAGGACCUGGAUCUAAGAGCACAAACACACUGAGCAGGAUACUGCCAAUGCCGCACUUCGAACUGUUGGGCAAACGAAGAGGUGCAGACGUCAAGGUCCACACCUAAAUCAAAUGACGCACUUGAAGAAUGAACACGGUGAGAAGUCUUGUUAAGAAGACUUAAAACAUUGAACCCUCGCCGAAAGGUAAGAUCGGUAGUUAUCCAUAUUUAUCCUUUCUGCAUUCCCUUUUCCCUUUAAUUAUUUACUUUCCUUAAAUAGAUUAUUAGUUAAUCAUGCUAUCUUGAAAAGAAAAUAAAAAUGUUAAAAAAUACUAAGCCCCAUGUGAGUAUACGACUGGCAUAAAACCCAUAAGUACCUUCACUGUGGUGGCAUAAAAAUAAAAUAAAUAUUUAUUUUCUGCUUUAUAAAAUAAAAAUAUAAAAACAGGGAGUAAUAUUUAUUGAGGAAGCUCAACAUGAUGAAGGCUAGAUAUUUAUGCUAACACUUAAUUAGUUCCACAAGCUUUGUUGUUUAUUUGAGCUCCACAAAAUUUAAGAAUCAAGAAGACUAGCAGACGGAGGACAUUCUAAUCGCUGUUAGAAUGCUGCAGACUUUCAAAUACACCUCUGCCACCUGCUAGCUACAUCAAGAGAAAUUACGUCAAAAUUCAGCUUGGGGGAGAGCACCUCCAUUUAUCUCGCUAAGUAUUUUGUAACACCCGAUUUUAAGAACAA